GCAGAGAGAGAGACAAGAGGGACAGCAGCACUGAGCAGAGAGACAAGAGGGACAGCAGCACUGAGCAGAGAGACAAGAGGGACAGCAGCACUGAGCAGAGAGACAAGAGGGACAGCAGCACUGAGCAGAGAGACAAGAGGGACAGCAGCACUGAGAGAGAGGCCGGGUCUCAGGUCCAGAGUGCAUGGGGAAGAAUGGAUUGGACAAAAGGCACCCGGCAGGGCUGAAUAGGUACUGACUGCAGACAAUCCGAUGGAUAGCAAUGGUAUUGUGGGUGAGGGUUGGACCCUUCACCGGGGACACGGGAAGCGGGCUGGAUGGAGGGAGAAUGAAUGGAGGGAAGAGGAGGGGAGAGACUUAGCAAUUAGCUGGACAGCUGUCCUAACAAUGGACUGUUGUCCUAACAAUGGACUGCUGUCCUAACAAUGGACUGCUGUCCUAACUAUGGUCUGCUGUCCUAACAAUGGACUGUUGUCCUAACAAUGGACUGCUGUCCUAACAAUGGACUGUUGUCCUAACUAUGGUCUGCUGUCCUAACAAUGGACUGCUGUCCUAACUAUGGACUGUUGUCCUAACUAUGGACUGUUGUCCUAACAAUGGACUGCUGUCCUAACAAUGGACUGUUGUCCUAACUAUGGUCUGCUGUCCUAACAAUGGACUGCUGUCCUAACAAUGGACUGUUGUCCUAACAAUGGACUGCUGUCCUAACAAUGGACUGUUGUCCUAACUAUGGUCUGCUGUCCUAACAAUGGACUGCUGUCCUAACAAUGGACUGCUGUCCUAACAAUGGACUGCUGUCCUAACAACGGACUGCUGUCCUAACAAUGGACUGCUGCCUUAACAAUGGACUGCUGUCCUAACAAUGGAUUGCUGUCCUAACAAUGGACUGCUGUCCUAACAAUGGACUGUUGUCCUGACAAUGGAUUGCUGUCCUAACAAUGGACUGCUGUCCUAACAAUGGACUGCUGCUCUAACAAUGGACUGUUGUCCUAACAAUGAACUGCUGUCCUGACAAUGGACUGUUGUCCUGACAAUGGACUGCUGUCCUAUCAAUGGACUGCUGUCCUAACAAUGGACUGCUGUCCUAACUAUGGUCUGCUGUCCUAACAAUGGACUGUUGUCCUAACAAUGGACUGCUGUCCUAACAAUGGACUGCUGUCCUAACAACGGACUGCUGUCCUAACAACGGACUGCUGCCUUAACAACGGACUGCUGUCCUAACAAUGGACUGCUGUCCUAACAAUGGACUGCUGUCCUAACAAUGGACUGAUGCCUUAACAAUGGACUGCUGUCCUAACAAUGGACUGCUGUCCUAACAAUGGACUGCUGCCUUAACAAUGGACUGCUGUCCUAACAAUGGACUGCUGUCCUAACAAUGGACUGCUGUCCUAACAAUGGACUGCUGCCUUAACAAUGGACUGCUGUCCUAACAAUGGACUGCUGUCCUAACAAUGGACUGUUGUCCUAACAAUGGACUGCUGUCUUAACAAUGCGUAGACGUGGGGGGGCAGUUGAUUCUAGUAAACAUGAUAUUUCUGUGAUGUCUAACAUCAUGUUAUAUCUCUGGGGUAUCAGAGAGGGAUCUUAAAGUGGGAGAUAUGUGAGGAGAAAUCAGAUGCAUGGAUAACUUGCAUGGAUUUUCUUUUGCUUCCAUCAUGGAUGGUAGGAUGGUAGAUUUUGAUUGGUAGGAGUUUUGGAUGGUAGGAUGGAAGGAGGUUUGGAUGGUAGGAUGAUAGGAUGGUAGGAGUUUUGGAUGGUAGGAUGGUAGGAGUUUUGGAAGGUAGGAUGGUAGGAGUUUUGGAUGGUAGGAUGGAAGGAGGUUUGGAUGGCAGGAUGAUAGGAUGGUAGGAGUUUUGGAUGGUAGGAUGGUAGGAGGUUUGGAAGGUAGGAUGGUAGGAUUUUGGAUGGUAGGAGUUUUGGAAGGUUGGAGUUUUCAAUGGUCCCUCCUGUCUGUACCUCCUGUCUGUCCCUCCUGUCCCUGUCUGUCCUUCCUGUAUUUCCCUGUCUGUCCCUGUCUAUCCAAUCAAAUUUAUUUCAAUCAAUCAAAUGUAUUUAUAAAGCCCUUUUUACAUCAGCUGAUAUCUCAAAGUGCUGUACAGAAACCCAGCCUAAAACCCCAAACAGCAAGCAAUGCAGGUGUAGAAGCACAGUGGCUAGGAAAAACUCCCUAGAAAGGCCAAAAACCUAGGAAGAAACCUAGAGAGGAACCAGGCUAUGAGGGGUGGCCAGGAAAAACUCCCUAGAAAGGCCAGAACCUAGGAAGAAACCUAGAGAGGAACCAGGCUAUGAGGAGUGGCCAGUCCUCUUCUGGCUGUGCCGGGUGGAGAUUAUAACAGAACAUGGCCAAGAUGUUCAAAUGUUCAUAGAUGACCAGCAGGGCCAGAUAAUAAUAGUCACAGUGGUUGUAGAAGGUGCAACAGGUCAGCACCUCGGGAGUAAAUGUCAGUUGGCUUUUCAUAGCCGAUCAUUCAGAGUUAGAGACAGCAGGUGAGCUAGAGAGAGAGUCGAAAACAGCAGGUCCGGGACAAGGUAGCACAUUCAGUGAACAAGUCAGGGUUCCAGGCAGAACAGUUGAAACUGGAGCAGCAGCACGGCCAGGUGGACUGGGGACAGCAUGGAGUCAUCAUGCCAGGUAGUCCUGAGGCAUGGUCCUAGGGCUCAGGUCCUCCGGGAGGGGAGGGAGAGGGAGAGAGAAUUACAGAGAGCAUACUUAAAUUCACACAGGACACCGGAUAAGACAGGAGAAAUACUCCAGACAUAACACUGACCCUAGCCCCCCCCGACACAUAAAC
rnacentral:lncRNA from 1 species